UGAGAAACUAGAUCUAUGGAGAUGCAGUAUUACAGAGAAACAGAGUCUCAUCCUGACUUCAGCUCUGAAAUCAAACCCAUCACACCUGAGAGAACUGAACCUGAGCUUGAAUGAACUCAGAGACUCUGGAGUGAAACACCUCAGUGAUCUACUGAUGAACACACAAUUCAAGCUGGAGAAACUACAGGACAGACUUGGACACAUAGACCAGUGAGGAGCCCAAGGAAGAACCGAACCCAACAGGCCUCGGGGGCCAACCCCUACGGUGAAGAUUUUCCUUAUAGGUUUUUCACCAUCCACUAGUCCAUCCUUACCUUACUGGUCCAUAGGUGUCAAAUGACUUAAUACUAGGUCAACAAAACCACUAUACGAUCACCAAAAUUUAAACCACUAUAUGAUCACCAAGAUAUAACCCACUAUACGAUCACCAGUCUAAAAAUAUCUAUGCAUGAAUACUGCUGGUCUGCUGUUUCUUUGUUUUCUUGUGUUUCAGGUCCGUGUAUAUACAUGUCAUCUCAUAUGCAGCUGCUGAGGGGAAGGAGGCAGGUGAACAACUUCUCGCCCUCCGGCAAGGUUAAGAGGCUGUGAAAUGACAGAUGAAUGAACCCAUCACACCUGAGAGAACUCAACCUGAAUGAGAACCAAAUAGAAAACUCAGGAGUGAAUCACUUAUGUGACG